CCCUUAGAUGUCCGGGGCCGCACGCGCGCUACACUGAAGGAAUCAGCGUGGCUCUGUCCCUGGUCCGAAAGGAUUGGGAAACCCGUUGAAUCUCCUUCGUGAUAGGGAUUGGGGCUUGGAACUGUUCCCCAUGAACGAGGAAUUCCCAGUAAGCGCGAGUCAUAAGCUCGCGUUGAUUACGUCCCUGCCCUUUGUACACACCGCCCGUCGCACCUACCGAUUGAAUGGUCCGGUGAAGCCUCCGGAUUGGCGCGCACCUCGGUGCCGCCGAGAAGUUGGCUAAACCUUACCAUUUAGAGGAAGGUGAANUCGUAACA
rnacentral:rRNA from 1 species